rnacentral:rRNA from 1 species
GAUGAACGCUGGCGGCGUGCCUAAUACAUGCAAGUCGAGCGAACAGACGAGGAGCUUGCUCCUCUGACGUUAGCGGCGGACGGGUGAGUAACACGUGGAUAACCUACCUAUAAGACUGGGAUAACUUCGGGAAACCGGAGCUAAUACCGGAUAAUAUAUUGAACCGCAUGGUUCAAUAGUGAAAGACGGUUUUGCUGUCACUUAUAGAUGUAUCCGCGCCGCAUUAGCUAGUUGGUAAGGUAACGGCUUACCAAGGCAACGAUGCGUAGCCGACCUGAGAGGGUGAUCGGCCACACUGGAACUGAGACACGGUCCAGACUCCUACGGGAGGCAGCAGUAGGGAAUCUUCCGAAAUGGGCGAAAGCCUGACGGAGCAACGCCGCGUGAGUGAUGAAGGUCUUCGGAUCGUAAAACUCUGUUAUUAGGGAAGAACAAAUGUGUAAGUAACGAUGCACGUCUUGACGGUACCUAAUCAGAAAGCCACGGCUAACUACGUG